GAUGAACGCUGGCGGCGUGCCUAAUACAUGCAAGUCGAGCGAACAGACGAGGAGCUUGCUCCUCUGACGUUAGCGGCGGACGGGUGAGUAACACGUCGAUAACCUACCUAUAAGACUGGGAUAACUUCGGGAAACCGGAGCUAAUACCGGAUAAUAUAUUGAACCGCAUGGUUCAAUAGUGAAAGACGGUUUUGCUGUCACUUAUAGAUGGAUCCGCGCCGCAUUAGCUAGUUGGUAAGGUAACGGCUUACCAAGGCAACGAUGCGUAGCCGACCUGAGAGGGUGAUCGGCCACACUGGAACUGAGACACGGUCCAGACUCCUACGGGAGGCAGCAGUAGGGAAUCUUCCGCAAUGGGCGAAAGCUUGACGGAGCAACGCCGCGUGAGUGAUGAAGGUCUUCGGAUCGUAAAACUCUGUUAUUAGGGAAGAACAAAUGUGUAAGUAACUAUGCACGUCUUGACGGUACCUAAUCAGAAAGCCACGGCUAACUACGUG
rnacentral:rRNA from 1 species